rnacentral:tRNA from 1 species
AAGAAAGUGACAGAGUGGCCAUGUAGCCGGCUUGAAACCGGUUUAAGGGGGUUCAAUUCCUCCCUUUCUCG